AUCCAUGGCAUGGCCAAAAGUUUGGCAUCCUGUGUUUAUUUAUUUAAAAAAAAGUCUGUGAAACAUAAUCAGGAAUUUCUUCUCACUGUGAGAUAGAUACUGCUUCACAUUCAGUGACGCCAUUUUCAGCAUGUAUUACGAGGAUGUCAGAUGCUGUUACCGAUUUAAUGUCAGACACACCAUCAUCUUGACAUAAUCCAGAAGGAGAUGCAUAAAUUUACAUAUUUAUUUAGCUUUUUUUGCUGCCUUCCUGCUUAAGUCAUUCAGAGGCAAACAUUGGAGCAAAGUUUAUCAGACAGAACAAGUGAUAACUCCGUGCUCAUUUUCAGCAUUUCAUUAUGGUUACUGUCCCUCCUCUUAUCCCAGUGACAUGGUUAAUUAGCUGCAUAGUGCCACGGAUGAAUAUCCACAUGCUGAAAUCAGAAACUAAAGCAAUGUGGAGCAACAGCAACUUCAUCAUGUUCUUUUUAUUCUCUGAUGCCAAUAUUAUUUCCGACAUGCAUCAUGGGAAAAACACUUAAGCGUGUAAUUGCACUAUAUCAAUUACACGUUACUCAAUGAACGCAUUUCCGUGACCACAAAGAAGAUGGAGCAGAAUCAGCAGAGAGGAUAAGAUUCUUCUGACACAUUAAAAGAAAUGGCACCUGAACUAAAAUAACAGAUGUAAAAGAACAGUCAUAACAGCAGAGUCCAAACUAUUUAUUUUAUUCAAAUCUAAUCCCACAGUUAGGAAUAUUGAUGGGGGAGAUACAAACAGACAGGAGGAGGAACAAACACCAUCCUAUGCAACAUUUAACACAAGGCAUGCCGCAUACAUGGCAAAUCAAUCAGGUUCUUUUCAUUGCAGUUUUGCUAUUCCAGCUGUUUCAAAAUUCAUGUACAAAAAUAUCAUGCAAACAUUCAAAAAUUUCACAACUCAACCUAGAGGUGCUUUUUGAGAUGCUCUAUAGGGUGGCAAAAACUGGGGUAUUUUGUCCCCCAGGUUCUUGGGGAUUUAGACAUGCUUAGAUGUGUAAAUCAAGAUGGAUACUUUACUUGCUGUUGUUGCUGAAGUUGGAAUUUCAUUGGCAACUUCAGGUAUGCUGCUAAUUUAAAUGGCUUUUUUGUGUUCUUUUGGAAACCGUUGACACAUUUGAUCAUAUUUCAUUCAAAAUCUGAAAUACAGUAAUUAUAAAUUCAUUUGAUCUUUCAACACUGAAUACAAUGAACAGAGAUAAUUUUAAAACACACUUUGAGAAUAUGCAACCUUUAUAAUAAUAAAAUCACUAAAGAAGCAUUUUGAAUACUUUUUUGGCAUUGAGAAAAAUAUCAGUAGCACAAUUUUGACCAGUCAGACCUGGACCUAAUUAUUCUACACUAAUUACAGAUUAAAACACAGCUUGUAAUAUUUAAUGUUUUAUCCAUAAGUUGGAGAAGAAUGCACUUUUACAUUUCUAAAAAAUUCUGCUGGAAUAUCUGUCCAUAUACAGAGCUGUGGAAAUGGAUUUACCACUUUUCAAAUGUAUUCUGUUUUUGCUUUUUUUGUCAAUAUAUUUUCAUUAAAGCAAGUUUUAUUAUUACAAGAACCAGUAUUUGAAUGAUUUUCAUUGUAAUUAAAGAACAAAGACUAUUCAAAUCAAUGUAUUCUUGUGCAAGAAAGUUACAACCCUCUUUCUUAAAUUACAACUACAUGAGCUCUAAUUACUGCCACACCUUCAGAAACCAGAAAUCGCCUAAAUGGAUCCUAUCUGACAAGUUGAAGACCUCCAACAUCAACACAACAUUUAACAAGUUUAGGAAGAUGUGAAAAAAUAAGCCAAUGGUAGCGAUUGCUUUGGAGAGGAUUACAAAUAUUUUUUUGAGACUUUGAUAAUUACCUAAUCAAAGUCUAAAAUUCAAUCCAAAUGGAAUGCUGUAACUAACCAGAAUCGGUUGCUUAUGCUUGAAAAAACCACUGUGACUUGGUUAAAACCAAUUUGCAAAAAAAGAGUUGGCAAAAAUGUUUCUACAGCAAUGUAAACAACUUUGUUGUCUCAAACACCUUAUGGCAGUUGUUACCACAGAGAAUGGCAGGAAUUCGUAUUAGAUGUUAUAAGGGUUAUUACUUUUUACAUAGGGUCAUAUUGGCUUAUAUAGCUUCUUCCUUUAAUGCAUUAAACCAUUUCCAAGCCGUAAUUUGUCUGUACCAGAGUCAAAUUCGCCUUAGGUUAAAGAGGAGGGGUAUUUUUUUUUUUUUUACCACCUUGUACAUAAAUAACAUACACACUCCCAAAUACACACCGAGUAUGGUGAAAUCCACAACUGCCAAGCUGUUCUAACCAAAUCUUAUUGUUAAAAGCAGCACCCUGGUAGUUUCAUUAAAGUUUCAUUAAAGAGGACACCACUACUGAGCAAAGCCUGAAAAGUUUCAGCAAAGCCUGAAGAUUUUGUGCUUUCUUUUCUGGCAGCAUUUUGGAAGUGCUACUUUAGUCAAGCUAAACAAGGGAUUGAUUUAGCUUUUGCCACCAGCAGUUUUUUAACGAAGAUUCAGCAAGGGCUGAAUUGAGAGUGGAAUAAAAGCAUUUUGGAUAAAUGAAUGAAGGGUGCUUUUAGAGUGGCUCCUACUGUAAACACUACACUUUGCAAAGCAAUUGAGCCAAAGAGGAAUGGCUGAAGGAAGAUAAGAGCAGAAGAACAGGAGAAAAAAAAAAAAAA